CAGCAGCCGCGGGAACACGGAGGGUGCAAGCGUUAUCCGGAUUCACUGGGUUUAAAGGGUGCGUAGGCGGAUCUGUAAGUCAGUGGUGAAAUCCCCAGGCUUAACCUGGAAACUGCCGUUGAUACUAUAGGUCUUGAAUUUUGUGGAGGUUAGCGGAAUAUGUCAUGUAGCGGUGAAAUGCAUAGAUAUGACAUAGAACACCAAUUGCGAAGGCAGCUGGCUACACAACUAUUGACGCUGAGGCACGAAAGCGUGGGGAUCAAACAGGAUUAGAUACCCGAGUAGUCCCUGUCUCUUAUAC
rnacentral:rRNA from 1 species